GCUGGGCAUGGUGGCGCAUGCCUGUAAUCCCAGCUACUCGGGAGGCUGAGGCAGGAGAAUCACUUGAACCCGGGAGACUGAAGUUGCAGUGAGCCGAGAUUGCACCACUGCACUUCACUCCAGCCUGGUGACAGAGUGAGACUCCGUCUCAA
rnacentral:SRP_RNA from 1 species